UCCACUUGCUUAAAAGGGCAGAUACAGUGUGAGCCCACCUUCUUAGCACAUCUGUGAAAGGAUCUCACGCCAGACCAUCCAUUGUCUUAAUCAUUCGCUUUUAAAUUUUAAAGGCCAUAUGGCUCUAGUGUCUCUCCUCUAACAUAUUUAUCACCGCUCCUUCACCUUUUGAGUAGGCUGAAACAUGACACAUUACAUCUGUGUUGAUAGUGUUUCAAAAGUUACUUUCCCCAAGUUGUUUUCCAUUUAUUAUCCAGUCCUUUUAUUUUUUUGAAACUACUUGAGACAAUAGUCACCAAAAACAAAUCCAUGAACAUGUGGACAUCUGGGUUGUUUGAUUUCUACGCAUCCUACACUGCCACCAGAACUGUGUAAAUUUCAGUAUGGUUUGCUAGUUGGUCUGGCUGGCCCCUUGUCCGUUUUCCCAUCUUAACAUGAAAGAAAGCAGCUUUUCAUUUAACCCUGCCUCUGGUUGGAGUGGGACUACUAUCCACUAGCAAAAACAUUGUCUCUACCUUCCUCCAGAAAAUUCUCCCAGCGCUGUCUCCACUUAGAAAGAGGCUUUCCCUCACUAAUUGGUGACAUGGACACUCCUUGGAGCAGCAGAGGAGCAAGUGGCUGACUGGUACCUCCAUAUAUAGUGCCAUGGGGGCAUGGUUUGGCCCUUUUCUGAAGGUGUCCUUGCAAUUUUAAUUGGAUGGUCUCUGCUCCUCUCUGAUUUGAUUGGAUCCAUAGCAUAACAAAAGUCUCUUCUCCAGCAAUAAAAUGGUUUUGAGGUUUUGGGGACCUGCCCCAUUAAGUUAUUUCAAUAGACCCAAGAAGCUGUGGAGUAUUUGAUUUUCUAGGGCUGUAUAAGUUGCCUUUGCCCUUGGAAUUUCUUGCACUCAAGUCUUGCUGGUCUCUGGAGGAUACCACAGAUGGGUUCAUUCAACAUGGAUCCUAAGCUCCUUCCUACCCCAUAGGGGCUGGAAAACCAAAAACUACACUUCCUAGACCCCCUUGUUUCUGAUGCGAUUUGGCUUUUUCAGGUUUGAUCUUAAUUAGGAAUUGAGUUAAGUGGGAGAGAGGCUGCAGCCAAUGAUGCAUCCAUUUUGCUGAUACAGAUCCAGCAGGUGUGGCAUGGCUGAUAAUGGCCUUCAUCCUCCAAUCACAGCUAAGGCACAACUGAGAGCCAUUGUUGGAGCAGCAGCUUCCUGAUCCCCAGAUAACAGUGAAGGUGGUGUGCGCCUGGAUCCUGAAGUUUAGACAGUCGCCUCCUGUGUCAGCCUCUUGAUUUGCCAUCUUCCUGAUUGACCUAGAGAUAGCAGUUUCCUUGACAGCUGCCAGAGUGUGAAGAAGCCUAGGCCACAUGGAGAAACCACUUGUAGAUGUUCCAGCUAACAAACUCUUCUGUGGUCCUGGCCAGCAGCCUGUAUUAACUGCUAGACAUGUGAAUGAAGAAGCUUUCAAGACUAAUCCAAUCCCACAUAUCAUCUGACUGCAACUGUGUGAGAGAUCCCAGAUACAUUUAAAGAGCCGCAUGAACACAAUUAAGAGGAAGGUCAGACUGAUUGCAAGUUCAUGAUGAGUAAAUGCUCUUUAUACUGCAAAAUGUCUUGUGCAAGGUUUCAAUUUUCAAAACCACUGGACUAUUUGCUUGCUUUUUCCACGGAAGAGCUGUUUUAUGUACACCAAGAAAGUGGAAGUUUUGUUUUGUUUGACUUUGGGUUUUCGUCCUUACAAAGCGAAGCGUACAUUUGUCCUUUAAUAGUAAUAAGCAGAAAUAAGGCAAGUAGGUACCCAUUAUUCUAGAGCAGCCCUGUCUAAUAGAAAGGUCAUGUGAACCACAUAAGCAAUUUUAAAUUUCCUAGUAGCCACAUUAAAAAUUAAAAAGAAAUGAAUGAAAUUAACUUUAAUGAUAUAUUUUAUUUAACACAAUAUAUCCAAAAUAUUACCAUUACAACACAUGAUCAAUAUUACAAAAAAUAUAACAGUGAGUUAUUUAGCAUUCUUUUUUCUUACUGAGUCUUUGAAGUUUGAUGUGCACUUUAUACUUAGAGAACAUUUCAAUUUGGAUUAGCCACAUUUCAAGAGCUUGUGGCUACCAUAUUGGAUGGUGCGGGUCUAGGAAAGGGUAACAUGUCUUUAAAAAGUAAUUUAGUGAAAGCUAUCUCCAGCCUUGACAUGCCAAAGAGAUCGCUCACUAAUGGGUCGCUACAGGUCACUAGCACUAGCUAAAGUGCACAGAUUUGCAUGAAGAACCCAGGUCAGCUGGUGGAGGAGAGAAAGAUGAAAAUGUUAGGGAGAUCUCUCAAGGUGGACAAAAAGUGGCUAAAUUAGGACCUACUUUUAGGUAAUUGCAAAGUGGACUGGUUUUGCAAAAUUAAUUUUUGCCAGAGGUGAUUUUAUUGCAAACUUCAAAUGAACUCAGUUCCAAUGAAUUUGAUUAGUUGAUUAUUUGAGCACAGUGUCACAAUAUCUGUAAGAGGCUGUUGGCAGAGGAUGAAGCAUGAUCUGUCAUUUGCCUUUUGCUGGAGUGUCUCCUAGAUGAAGUGUGCAUGAUUGGAAUGACAAUGCUGCAGGCACGCUUUGCCCAUUUGUGUAUGGUCUUUCAUAAACUCAAAAGGGACACUUAGGGGUCUCUCAGCUUCCAUAGAUCUCCCCCCAAAAAAGGAGUCGGAGAAGCCCUGACAGAUGUCAGAGAGUCCUUUGCCCUUUAUUUUAUUGUAGAAGCUCUCAGGUCACCACUCAUGAACUUCUCCUUUCUUAAUUUACAUACCUACAUACAAUAAGAAUAAAGAUGAUGAUGUUACCCUGUGCUUGUAUUGCACUUUUACUUUCGAAAUCCCUUCCACAUAUAUUAUUUAUUUUCAUUUCAACAAACUUUCUGCAAGUUAAAGAAAGCAGUCCAAUCCUACUGCCUCAAGGCCUUGGAUCUUUAAAAAAUCAAUUCAGAUCCCUGAACCUUGCUCUUUUAUCUUGCAAUAUGAAUAAUACCAGUUUUCCCUUACGGCUUUUAGUUAAAUAAGACAGCAUAUUUAAAAUGCAUUGCAUAUUGUAUGUGAUCAUUAGGUGUUAGUUACCCUCAUCGUUAGAAAUUUAAAUUAAAAAUUUAGCAAACUGUAUGGUCAGUUUUAGACAUGUUGCAAUCUUCAUGGCUAAAGUAAACACUUUGACAUAUAAAAUCAUUGACCCCUAGGACUAGAAGGCUCUGAGAUUCCAAUCAGUAACAUGCUUUGAGGAGCUACAAUAUGCCAGGCACUGUGCCAGGCAUAGAGGGUCUACUCCACACUACAAGAGGCAGAAGCUGAGGACCAUUGUUCAUGGUCACAUGGUUAAUGUAUAAUGACAGUGGCAUUAAGCUAUAGCUUUUCUAAUAAGUCCAGCCACUUUUUAUGACACUACUUCCAUCUCUUCCUCCCCUAAACUCUUAACAAUUUGUUAUUUAGCUUGUGAGUCCACAUAAACAGCACACUGGAGAAAGCUGGACAGUACAUGAGUCAGGCAUACUGACAGCAAUAGUGACAGUUGACAUCCUGGGCUCAAGGGAGGAAGCAAAAACACUACAUUCUUAUAGCCCAUGACAGUAUCUGAUGUUCACAACGAUGACCCUGGAUCUUCUAAGAAUAGAGUUGAACAUAUUAAAAAAAAACUUUGUCAGAAAGAUUUUCAUCAAAAUGGCUUAAAUAACAUGACAUUGGAAAGGAUAGUAGACAACAUCUAGGCAAGUUGUUUUCAGCUGCUGUUUUUACAGAGGUGUCUGGGAGGCCACUAACUAUAGCUUCCAUAUCAAGUUUCAUCUGACAAAAGAGUUCCAUAAACACAUCACACACACAAUGUAUAUAUGCCUAUAUGUCAUAUAUUAUGUAUAGUAUGUAUGCCAUAUAUGUCAUGUAUAUAUAUAUAUAUUUAUAUCUAUCUCAACACUGAUGUGGUUCAACCAAUUUCUGUUGCCCUGCAAGCCUUCCCCCUCCCUAUUUCCCUGGGACUACUUACUAGGCUGGACCACUAGACCAGCUCCUGGGAUCUCUAGACUGGGCACAUGACUCAAGAUGGGCCAAGAAGACCCUCUGUCUCAGGAAUUUCAACGUUGCAUAGCGAUAUGCAGAGACUGAAAGUGGUUGGAAGUGAGUCAUCCGACAGCACUACGGAAAGGGAGUUCCUGAGUUCCUUUUGCUCUAAUCUCCAAGGUUUCAUGGUCUAGCUCUUCCUUUAAUUUGAUGAGUUAUUCCAGUAUCCUCUCAAUAAAUCACUGUUGAUUAAGUUAGUCAGAUUUGGUUUCUUUUUUUUGCAACAUGGCUACUUAAAUGAUAGCUUCAGGCAGUAAAAGUGAUUUGCUCAAAGUCACACAGUGAAUGAUAAAAACUUGGCAAGGUGAGUGUCUCCUGAUCACCAAUCUGGUCUCUAUAGGCAGAGGCAACCUUCAGUGUGGAACUCCCCACUCCAGAAUGAUUCUGAAUGAACAAUUCUGAAUGAUCCUGAGUGAAUGAGGCAUCACUGUAUCUGGCCAACACAAAAUUGAGGGUUAAAAUUAAGCAAAGAUGGUUCAGUCUGAGCAUAAAACAUACCUACAUAAUGCAAAUAUGUUCUUU
ensembl:lncRNA